UACGAAGGACCCAAGCGUUAUCCGGAUUUAUUGGGUUUAAAGGGUGCGUAGGCGGGCUAUUAAGUCAGUGGUGAAAGCUCCGAGCUUAACUCGGAAACUGCCAUUGAUACUGACGGUCUUGAGUACAUUUGAGGUGGGCGGAAUGUGUCAUGUAGCGGUGAAAUGCUUAGAUAUGACACAGAACACCGAUUGCGAAGGCAGCUCACUAAACUGUAACUGAAGCUGAGGCACGAAAGCGUGGGGAGCAAACAGG
rnacentral:rRNA from 1 species